GAUGAACGCUGGCGGCGUGCCUAAUACAUGCAAGUCGAGCGAACAGACGAGGAGCUUGCUCCUCUGACGUUAGCGGCGGACGGGUGAGUAACACGUGGAUAACCUACCUAUAAGACUGGGAUAACUUCGGGAAACCGGAGCUAAUACCGGAUAAUAUAUUGAACCGCAUGGUUCAUUAUUGAAAGACGGUUUUGCUGUCACUUAUAGAUGGAUCCGCGCCGCAUUAGCUAGUUGGUAAGGUAACGGCUUACCAAGGCAACGAUGCGUAGCCGACCUGAGAGGGUGAUCGGCCACACUGGAACUGAGACACGGUCCAGACUCCUACGGGAGGCAGCAGUAGGGAAUCUUCCGCAAUGGGCGAAAGCCUGACGGAGCAACGCCGCGUGAGUGAUGAAGGUCUUCGGAUCGUAAAACUCUGUUAUUAGGGAAGAACAAAUGUGUAAGUAACUAUGCACGUCUUGACGGUACCUAAUCAGAAAGCCACGGCUAACUACGUG
rnacentral:rRNA from 1 species